rnacentral:rRNA from 1 species
UACGAAGGGGGCUAGCGUUGCUCGGAAUCACUGGGCGUAAAGCGCACGUAGGCGGAUUGCUAAGUCAGGGGUGAAAUCCUGGAGCUCAACUCCAGAACUGCCCUUGAUACUGGCGGUCUCGAGUCCGGGAGAGGUGAGUGGAACUGCGAGUGUAGAGGUGAAAUUCGUAGAUAUUCGCAAGAACACCAGUGGCGAAGGCGGCUCACUGGCCCGGUACUGACGCUGAGGUGCGAAAGCGUGGGGAGCAAACA